rnacentral:other from 1 species
CAUGUCCUGAGAUGCGCGCCAGUCGGUUUCGUCCUUGAGCCGAUAAUGCAAACUCCCACGGAUGUAUCUCGUUCACUGCCGGUGUGCAUGUCCGCCUCGCGGAAAGCCUAAAGGCAAUGCUGAUACACCCACCUUGAACCUUGGGUUCAAGGCUACGCCGGCAGCGGCAUCUCGGGUCCUCU